rnacentral:lncRNA from 1 species
CUCUUAUCUCCUAAGCAACCUGGGGCGGGGCCAGUGGAGGGGCGGAUCCCUCCAACCUGACGGCCAAACGUUUCCUAGACGUUGUCGUUACUGAUAAGAAACUACAUUUCCCAGAAUGCAGUGAGGGUAGCGACCGGGCUACACAGGUGAUGAAGGGGGGAACUGCAUCCUGGGAUCCGCAGUUUCGCCUGUCCACCCGCCAAAUCCUAAGAGUGGCUGAGCGCAGUUAUUGGGGAGUGGUAGUUUAAUAUGAAAUUUAAUAGCCUGGAUCAGAAAAAUGUAGGCAAGAAAUUUGGAUAUGGUACCAGCGAUAACGAUAAAUUUGCAUUCCUAUAGAAUCCUUUCUCUUCAAGACUAUAACUUUAUCAGAUUCCUGAAGAGAUUGCCAAGAACUGAACAGGGCAGCAAACCUAAAACAGAUGUAAACCAACCAGAUGCAAACGUCUGUGGGGGCAAACCUCUUUGCCAUCUCCUUUCCCUUCCUGUCUUGAUCUGUGCUCAAUUCCUGGAAAAGCCCCUACUCAGGAUCUCCUAAAGUCUCCAGUAGCAUGUUUUCCCCCACCAUUAAAAUUACUUCUCUCUAUCAAAUGUCUUUUAAUUAUGCUGAGAGACAAGAAUUUAACGUUGCUUAAGAAAACUAAUUUGUACUAUCUCUAUGUCAAAUACAGUUUAAAUAUAUUAAAAACUCCUGUUUAAAUUGUAUAGC